rnacentral:rRNA from 1 species
UCAGAGUACGUGAAACCGCUUAGGGGUUAAGCCCGAUGAACCUGAAUAUCUGAAAUGAGAAAUUCAAUACUAUUAACUGAAUUUUUGAUGGUAUGCACUUUUCUCAUAGUAGGACAUUGCGAUCCAUUAGUAGUCUUUUUGAGACGGUUUAUCAAACGGCCCGCAUAGUUGUUUUAACCUAUCUGCAAUACUAGCUAUUGUAUGGUUAAUGCUAUUACGGUGACCUGGUAAACAGCUGAUGGAGCUUAAAAAUCAUGCCACCAUGCAAAUGUAUCACGGUUUAAAUUUUCGAAUUUGAAUGCAGUGAUCGCAUGUAUUUGAUUAGCAAUGCGAUAGAUUUGGGAUACCUUCGGGACCCGUCUUGAAACACGGACCAAGAAGUCUAACAUGUGUGUAAGUCAUUGGGUAUUUUGUUGAAACCUAAAGGCGAAAUUAAAAUAACUAUUAUGGGAUUACAAAUAAUCACAAAAUGAUUGUUUCUCCAUCCCGGGGCGUUCUGUCUGAACAUGGUUUAAGCAAUUAGGCCCGCUGUUCUAGAGCGUACCUUGAACAUACAUGCUGUGACCCGA